rnacentral:lncRNA from 10 species
CUUUCUGUGUGCCUAGGCUGGAGUGCAGUGGCGCCAAGGUGACACUCUGUCUCAAAUGAACAAACAAACAAAACAAAACAAAACCACUUCUAUAAGAAAACAUGGGAGAAAAUAUCUUGUGACUUUGAGUUGGGCAAAGAGUUCUUAGAUACGACAUCAAAAACAUCAUCCGCUGGGCGCGGUGGCUCAUGCCUGUAAUCCUAGCACUUCAGGAGGCUGAAGCAGCAGAUUGCCUGAGCUCAGGAGUUCGAGACCAGCUUGGGCAACAUAGUG